UCCCUGAUGGCUGAGUGGGUAAAGAAUCUGCCUGCAAUGCAGGAGACAUAGGAGACAGGGGUUCAAUUCCUGUGCCGGGAA
rnacentral:tRNA from 1 species